rnacentral:lncRNA from 1 species
UCCAAUUUUUUAAAAAAAUUCAUUUUCAAGUGAUUUCUAACAUUCUUCUACUAUCUCUUUUUUUCUAGAAAGCAAACUGGUACCAAUUCUACUUUUUACUCUGAUGGAAAGAGAGUUACUAAAUCUGAACUUGGCUUCUGGUCUUUCCUUGAUUUUUGUCUUUGCUUGGCCUGGAAAGUAUCCUAGGUGGACUGAAACUAGGCUCCCAAAAUGAACUCCACUUAGAGUUUGAACACUUUUUUAGAAAACACAAAAAAACCCAUAAUGUUUGCCUGUUUCUGGAAUGAACUUAGCUUCAUCAGCCAAGUUCAAAACUCAGCCAAGUUCAAAGGAGGGGUUGGGGGUGGGAAGGAGCUCACUGUCAAAACUUCAGGGACACCUCUCCCUUGCAGCAAAUACUCCUGGAAACCCUAAGGCCACAUCUAUCUGUGGGCAUGGGGGAGUCUCUUCCUCAUCUGGUGCCAAUGGACUCCACUUGCAAUUAGAGCAACAAAGACGUGCUGAUAUUGUUCAAGUCAAAAGCAGUAGCUUCUGUAAACAUCCCUGGAGGUCUGAGACAGUUUGGCCAAUCAAGAUCUCCUGCCACUCCCCACCACUGGAAGCUCAACUCUUCACCAAAUCAGGAGAUUCUAAUACCCAAGAGAAAAAUUAGAUUCCCCAUCCAUGUCUUAAGAUAUCUCUGUGCAGAAGACUUGGUAAUAAUUGGCUAGAAAAAGAAAAAAUAUAUAUAUAUAUGUAUAUACACCUCCCAAAAAAGGACCUGGAACUGGAACUUUGGGUUGGGUGUCUUGUGGGGCUGAAAUAAAAUAUCUGAGCCACAGGAUUCAAGGCCUGAUUCUUUUUUCUCCACUUCUAAACUGCCAGGAAACUCCCAACUCAAAUAUUACCUUUGCUGGGAUGCAAUCCUCUCAUCCCACCUCUUAAAUACAUCGUGUUUGUCUCCUGGUUCCCAUGGUGCCUCAUUCAGAUGUCCAUCAUCUUACUCUCCACAACACAGUUUAAUUAGAUGCUCACAUAAUUCUGAAGCCACUGACGGAGGGACUGUGUCCCCAGUGCCUGGCACAUAAAAUAGGGGUCAGCAUACUUCCUUCUGUAAAUGGCCAGAGAGUAAAUAAACAUUUUAGGCUCUGCAGUAACCUGGUCUCUGUCGUAACUGUGCAGCUGCUAUUGUAGUGCUAAAGCACCUACAGACAAUAGGUGCUCCAAAACUUUAUUUACAAAAACAGGUAGUGGGCCAGAUUUGACCUGCAGACCAGGGUCUGCCAACUCCUGUGGCAGACCAUCCAAUGAAAACUAUAAAGAAGGGAGGGCAGGAGGCAACCAUGAAGGAAGGGGGAGAGGAAGGGAAGAAGAGAUGGAAGACGAGGUAGAGAAGGAGAAUAAACCCAGAAAUAAAGUCAGAAUGAAACAAAAUUUGAUAUGCUUCCCAGAUGGUAAAGAGCUAUUCCUAGUGAGUUUCUCUUCAGCAAAGCAUUCAGUCCAUAAGAAACAAUUCUAAUUAGAAUCCUCCUAUUAUACUUCACAUUGUAUUCUCUACAUGUAAAUCUUCCAAACAGUUUCUCUCUUUUGGCAAAUCAUUAUUUCCCAUUUAUUAAGACAAAGUACAGUCGAAGGGCUCCAUUGCUGGCUUAUAACUGCAGCCUGCCUACAGGUGUCAUAUUUUAUGCACUGAAAAGAGAGUAUUGUUUUGCCACUCUCUAUGCAGGAACUAUGAACGCCUGGAAACAAAUGACUUUUGACUGCUGAUCAGAACCUCACUUUAAUCAGUUACUGGUCUAUGAUCAAUAAUUAAUCAUGCUAUUCUGUCUAGGUAAUAAAUAAUGGCGAAAAUACCAAUGAAUAUAUAGUUGGCCAGAUUCUCCCUGGGGCGAAACACAAAAGGACCAGCAUGAAAGUCUAUCUGGAUAACCCUGUGGAUUCUCGGUGUACAGCUUUAGUUGAAAUUCCAGGAGGGCUUGGACUGGUAGGAGAGGAAAGAGCCUUGUCACCAUCAACGCCUCCCUCUGAGCCCCUCAGGACUAAUAAUCCCUGCUUGGAUCAAAUGUGUGUGUGCAGAGAUAACUGAAAAGGAGCCCGCGACACUGGGGGACAGGCCAGAGUUUCACAGGCACAAGCAAUUGGGUGGCAGGAGGAGCAGAGACCCACUCAGGUUCAAUGCUUGUCAUGCUUGUAGGUUAGAAGUGGUGCAUCCACUGCAAUCUUAUAUGCUGAAACCUAGACGCGUACCCAGUGACUUCGUUAUUCAAGUUUUCUGAUGGAAUAUUUUAUAAAGAGAACAAAUAACUGUAUUGCUUUUCUACUGCCAUAUAAUAAAUUACCACAAAUUUAGUGACUUAAAACAACAUGCAUUAAUUAUCUCAUGGUUUCUGCUUGCAGGUCAGGCGUCUGGCCCCGGGCUCAGCGGGGCUCUCUACUCAGGGGCUUGCGUGGCUGCAACUGCAGUGUCCACUGGGUUGUACCCCUUUCUGGAGCUUGGGAUCCUCUUCUAAGCUCACGUGGUUGUUGGCCAAAUCCGGUUCCUUGUGGCUGUGUGACCAAGGGUCCUGGCUUCUUACUGGCUGUCACCAUAAGAAUCUCGCCCUGACUUACCUGUUUAGUCGACUUCCAAGUAGAGGCAUUGGUAAUGAGAACAUACACAGCAGAGGGAGAUCCAGAGGGAACUGCUACCACAGUUCAUGAGCUAGUGUUCUUCAGUGCUAUUACACUAAAAUGAUCUCGUCCUUUUUGUUUUUUUUUUUUUUUAAUAGCUUGAUUGUUCUCCCUGAGCAAAAAAUCUAGGCAAAAUUCUCUAUCAAAGACAGCCAUGCUACCAUCAUGCUAGAUGUAUAGGUCCCUGGUCUUUCUUAUGUUACUGUAGGUGGAACCAAGCAUUCAGAUUACAACAAUAUUUUUGAUACAAAAGUUACGAUACUUUUUAUGAGACAUUCUCAUUUGUCUUUGAGUUCAUCUGGGUUAGCAUAAGAAAAGCAUCAUUUGUACUAUAUUAGCAAAUUGCCUAAUCUAUUUACGUAACCUGCUCUGAGUCAGGUGUUUUCUUUUUAUUAACUUAUUUCCCCCAAGACUUCAGCCAAACUCACA